UACGUAGGGGGCGAGCGUUGUCCGGAAUCAUUGGGCGUAAAGAGCUCGUAGGCGGUUCAGUAAGUCAGGUGUGAAAGCUCCGAGCUCAACUCGGAAAGGCCACCUGAUACUGCUGUGACUAGAAUCCAGUAGGGGAGUGUGGAACUCCUGGUGUAGCGGUGAAAUGCGCAGAUAUCAGGAGGAACACCGGUGGCGAAGGCGGGUCGCUGGGACGUUACUGACGCUGAGACGCGAAAGCGUGGGGAGCAAACAGG
rnacentral:rRNA from 1 species